rnacentral:lncRNA from 1 species
UGGUGGAGUCUAUGAGUUCCAAGGUGGGUGUGAGGUGAAAGUUCAUUUGAUGUGGGGAGCCAAGGAGUGCAGGGGCCAAGGUGUUGAGUGGGCUGUUCCCUAAUCGCAAGACCAGUAUUGAGGAUGGAGAUCACAAGCCCACUACUCAACCAUCCUCAAGUGUUGUGGACUGUUUCCUCCAAAAUUGAGUCCUUUGACUCUAUCCUGCAGGGAAGAUUCUCAACCAGGAAGGCAAACAACUUAAAAUAGCUCCAGGAAGUCUUUCAAACUGACCAGUUUACUGGACCUCCUCUAAGCAAUAAAAGCAGCAAAGGAGAUUCUGAGACAAGACCAGAUGCUUGGAAGAAGCAAAAGCCAGCCCAGCUGCCUGGAAAGGUUUAGAUCAACUGAGUCAUCGGGAAAGAAUAUGAUCUAACGUGUUUAGGUGCCUCCGACUGUGCAGUGUGCUCAUUUCCGCUCCUACCUUGGGAGAAGAACACUGCUGUCAGCCUUCUUGGGUCGCAUGCCUUGUAAGCAAGACACAGUGAGGUUCUGAGCCUACUUUUAUGUGAGGCAGAAGGAACAGUGAGUUCGUGUCUUGGCUGACAUCUGCCUUUGUUGCCUACCCGCCCAUCUAUGACCCUCCUAGAAAGACUAGAAGAAUUCAAAUUAAGAGAAAUUCUUGAAGAAAAAUUUCUGUUGUUAUAGAACGUUUGAAUAGAUAUAUCUGGGCAAGCAUCACUGAUGGAGAUCCUGGGACCAGACCAUUCUCUGCUGUGCUUCCUGGUUGCCAGGAAAUGAAGCUUGUCUCAUCACACACUCUCUGCCUCACUGCCGCUCAGCAGCCAUGGACUAAAACUGAACUAAAUCAAACCUUUCUGACUUUUCAGUGUUUCUCUCGGGUGUUUUAUCAUACUAAUGAAACAUUUCCAACCACUAGAGGAGACAUGCGGGCCUGCCACCACCUGGGAACACUGCUGUUACUGCCCUGUACUGAGUUCAGUGCAUUUAACUGCCAAAUGGAAGGAGCAGUCUACCGAAAAUAUAAAAUGCUAUUGGAUCCGGCCUUCACGGAACACUCUAGAAUGAUCUGAAACAAUGGAAUAAGACCUCAUAGUUCUAAGUGAAGUCAUAAUGUUCUGCUAUCAUGUGAGCGAUGUGAGCAGAGUUAUGGGUGACCAUUCCUGGGACUGUGCAGAUGGGCUGAAAGCCUGCCCAAGCACCUUUCCUCCCACCCUUUCUCUGCUUCCCACCUUCUGUGUAUGUCGGGAUGUGAUACUUUUUGCACAGUGGCGUAGGAUGAACACACAGCAUUAUGCUACACUGACAGAAACCCGAUGUCUGCGGCUGGAACUUCAAGAGGAAAGAUGAAAUAAACAUCUGUUGAGUCUGCCACAAGGACCUUGUCAUAUGUGGUGAAGGGAGUGUAGGUGACUGAGUGGUGGAAUCAGGCUUCAUCCAUUUGUCAAGAGGAAAAGGGAAGAAGGCAUAGUCAAGAGGGACUGGAGAUUCUGCUCUACUGCUGGAAGUGUUGCAGCUCUGAGGGGAAAGGCUUCCCCUCGGGGGCAUUACAGCUCUGCUCCAGCCGCUGCAGAGGAAGGUUUCCCUAAGGCGAGUGUAACAGUUCUGUUCAGGUAGGGAAGAGGUACCUGGCAGUCCGGAGCCAAGGAAUACCACAAAGUCACACCACACAACAAACCUCACAAAAGAGAUUUACUGGGAGGGAAAGCCCCAGAAGGGUGACUGCUUCUGCUCCAAUGAGAAGCAGCAGGGAACUGAGCAGAAGAUAGGGUUUGUACAGGAGUUCUUGGGGGUGGCCUAGGAUUGGAGGGAUUAUGUGGCCUGACUUUGAAGCUCAGGAAUUGGUAGGUUAUCCUGUUCAGGGAUUGGUGGAUUUUCCUGUUCAGGGAUUGGUGGGUUUUCCUGUUCAGGGAUUGGUGGGGUUUCCUAUUCAGGGAUUGGUGGGGUUCUAUGGCAAGCGCAGGGGUUGAUAGGUUUUCCUGCUCAGGGAUUGGUGCGUUUUCUUUGCCCUUUUAUCCUACAAGAGCCAUCAAGAACUACUGCCAUUUUGACUCCAGGGCAGACUUGACUAGGUCAGUCUUCUCCAGCUGCCUCCGGUGCAGCUGAGUUACACACAUUGCAAACGCUAAGGCUGCCUCUGACCCUCCCCAAUGGCGCACGGCCACUGCACAUAGAAGAUUCUGACCAUAGUUACUAAAUGGAGACCCCCUAAGGACGUUUCACUGUGCCGUGUUGGCAGUUGAGGAUCAUUCUGAGUAGUCUCUGAAAUCAUGUCAGUUGAUCGGCCAUCUUAUCUUUCAAGAUGCGAUCAAACUGCCAGGAGCUUCCGUUAUUCUUGUCAGUGAUUCUGUGAUGGCUCCAGAAGGCUCCCUGUGCUCGCAUGCUGGUAUUUUACACACACACACACACACACACACACACACACACACACACACUGAAAGGAGAUGCCUCCAAGAUCAAAAACUAGGAAGACACUUUAGAGUUUGAAUUUGUACCACCCAGCUUAUGGCAAACCUCCUCUCCCAAAGAUCAGUUUAUUGGAAGAAACAAUCUAGAAAAGAUUUCAACGAUACAGAUGUGGAAAUAUAUUAUUUAAAGCUUAUGGUUCCUUAUCUGCCUUCGGACCAUCCCUGACUUAAAAUACUCCACAACGCUACUGGGGGGAAUAAUUAGCUGUGAUUUUUCUGUACUUAUGGAAGGACACCACACAGAUACUGCACAGAGGUCACUACUCACUUGGGCACUUUCUGGCACUUCUAUAGGACCAAGUACUCUUGUAAUCAAGUAUGGUUUUAGAUGAGCUUUCCUAACUCGCUCUGGCUCCUGCGGUUUUAUGAGGAAUUUUUCCCCUUAGUCUUGUGAGUCUGACUUUCAUGCUGUCAAUGCUAAAGAAAGAAGACAUUCCUAACUUUCUAGUUUCUAUCAAGACCCUGUAGGAGUUACAAAUGGAUUUAUGUAAUCGCACAGCAAGGUAGGAUGAACUCUAAUGGUGUGGCAGAUCAAAAUGCUUGUAUGUAUUUGAUGGAAAUUGUAAUUCCUGGAACUUGCUGUGACACCUUGGCCAGGAUACCUGUCC